AACUACUGGAAACGGUGGCUAAUACCGCAUAACGUCGCAAGACCAAAGAGGGGGACCUUCGGGCCUCUUGCCAUCAGAUGUGCCCAGAUGGGAUUAGCUAGUUGGUGAGGUAACGGCUCACCAAGGCGACGAUCCCUAGCUGGUCUGAGAGGAUGACCAGCCACACUGGAACUGAGACACGGUCCAGACUCCUACGGGAGGCAGCAGUGGGGAAUAUUGCACAAUGGGCGCAAGCCUGAUGCAGCCAUGCCGCGUGUAUGAAGAAGGCCUUCGGGUUGUAAAGUACUUUCAGCGGGGAGGAAGGUGUUGUGGUUAAUAACCACAGCAAUUGACGUUACCCGCAGAAGAAGCACCGGCUAACUCCGUGCCAGCAGCCGCGGUAAUACGGAGGGUGCAAGCGUUAAUCGGAAUUACUGGGCGUAAAGCGCACGCAGGCGGUCUGUCAAGUCGGAUGUGAAAUCCCCGGGCUCAACCUGGGAACUGCAUUCGAAACUGGCAGGCUUGAGUCUUGUAGAGGGGGGUAGAAUUCCAGGUGUAGCGGUGAAAUGCGUAGAGAUCUGGAGGAAUACCGGUGGCGAAGGCGGCCCCCUGGACAAAGACUGACGCUCAGGUGCGAAAGCGUGGGGAGCAAACAGGAUUAGAUACCCUGGUAGUCCACGCCGUAAACGAUGUCUACUUGGAGGUUGUGCCCUUGAGGCGUGGCUUCCGGAGCUAACGCGUUAAGUAGACCGCCUGGGGAGUACGGCCGCAAGGUUAAAACUCAAAUGAAUUGACGGGGGCCCGCACAAGCGGUGGAGCAUGUGGUUUAAUUCGAUGCAACGCGAAGAACCUUACCUGGUCUUGACAUCCACGGAAGUUUUCAGAGAUGAGAAUGUGCCUUCGGGAACCGUGAGACAGGUGCUGCAUGGCUGUCGUCAGCUCGUGUUGUGAAAUGUUGGGUUAAGUCCCGCAACGAGCGCAACCCUUAUCCUUUGUUGCCAGCGGUCCGGCCGGGAACUCAAAGGAGACUGCCAGUGAUAAACUGGAGGAAGGUGGGGAUGACGUCAAGUCAUCAUGGCCCUUACGACCAGGGCUACACACGUGCUACAAUGGCGCAUACAAAGAGAAGCGACCUCGCGAGAGCAAGCGGACCUCAUAAAGUGCGUCGUAGUCCGGAUUGGAGUCUGCAACUCGACUCCAUGAAGUCGGAAUCGCUAGUAAUCGUGGAUCAGAAUGCCACGGUGAAUACGUUCCCGGGCCUUGUACACACCGCCCGUCACACCAUGGGAGUGGGUUGCAAAAGAAGUAGGUAGCUUAACCUUCGGGAGGGCGCUUACCACUUUGUGAUUCAUGACUGGGGUGAAGUCGUAACAAGGUAACCGUAGGGGAACCUGC
rnacentral:rRNA from 1 species